rnacentral:misc_RNA from 1 species
AACCAUAGAAACCUGCGGAGUACCUGCGGAGGGAUCAUUACAGAGUUGCAAAACUCCCUAGACCAUUGUGAACGUUACCUAAACCGUUGCUUCGGCGGGCGGCCCGGGUCCUUCCCGGCGCCCCUCGGCCCUCGCGGGCGCCCGCCGGAGGUAAACCAAACUAUUGCAUUGUAUGGCCUCUCUGAGUCUUCUGUACUGAAUAAGUCAAAACUUUCAACAAUGGAUCUCAGAUCGGAAGAG